UAAUGGAAAGUACAGCAAAGAAGAGGAGAUGCAGCUUCAACAAAGACUGGGAAACUACAUAUCACUGGGUGAAGCCGGUGCAAGGUGAUUCUAAGAGAGUUUUCUGGGAAGUUUGCCAGAGUUUGUUUUCCGUUUCACACGGUGGGGAAGACGACGUGAAGCGACACAGUACAUGCGAGACCCCCCUCUCAGCUUUGAGUGUCAAGGAGAAGACAAAGUGAUGCAGCCAUCAGGAGAUGUCAUUGCUGCUGAAGGAGACACAGUUACACUGGAUUGUACUUUUGAGACCAGCUACACAACACAACCUACUUUGUUCUGGUAUAAACAAGAAGUAAAUGGUUGCCCAAAAUACAUGCUGAAAACUCACUCAAAGACUGUGGAAAAUGCUCCAGAGUUCCAGCAAGACAGAUUUCAUGCUGGAAUCCAGGAUAAGUCAGUUCCUCUGAAGAUCCAGGAGCUUCAUCUGUCAGACUCUGCUGUGUACUACUGUGCUCUGAGGCCCACAGUGACAGGAAACAGCAAAACUCUGUACAAAAACCUUUGGAGCAAAGACAACAGAAAACUCCACAACAUCCACUAGAGGGAGACACACUCUGUUACACUUCUGUGGUUUCUGGAACUCAGUUUAGAUGUUUCUGCACAGCUCAGAAUAAAGUCAAUAAUGUCUUGUGCGAUUGUUGCCUCAUUUAACUUAGGUGUUU